rnacentral:rRNA from 1 species
GACGAACGCUGGCGGCGUGCCUAAUACAUGCAAGUAGAACGCAGUUGCGAACGGGUGAGUAACGCGUAGGUAACUGCCUCAUAGCGGGGGAUAACUAUUGGAAACGAUAGCUAAUACCGCAUACUGUGAGAUGGACCUGCGGUGGAUUAGCUAGUUGGUGAGGUAAAGGCUCAACAAGGCGACGAUACAUAGCCCACCUGAGAGGGGUAUUGGGCAACAUGGGACUGGGACAAGGCCCAGGAUCCCACGGGAGGCAACAGUGAGGAAUCUUCGGGAAUUGACGGAAGUCUGAACGGGCAACGGCGGGGGAGGGAAGGAGGUUUUCGGGUUGUAAAGACCUGGUGUUAAGGGAACGGUAUCUAACCAGAAAGGGACGGCUAACUACGUGCCAGCAGCCGCGGUAAUAC